CGGACGGGUGAGUAAUGUCUGGGAAACUGCCUGAUGGAGGGGGAUAACUACUGGAAACGGUAGCUAAUACCGCAUAACGUCGCAAGACCAAAGAGGGGGACCUUCGGGCCUCUUGCCAUCGGAUGUGCCCAGAUGGGAUUAGCUAGUAGGUGGGGUAACGGCUCACCAGGCGACGAUCCCUAGCUGGUCUGAGAGGAUGCCAGCCACACUGGAACUGAGACACGGUCCAG
rnacentral:rRNA from 1 species